GACGAAGGGGGCUAGCGUUGUUCGGAAUUACUGGGCGUAAAGCGCGUGUAGGCGGUUGCCCAAGUCGGGUGUGAAAGCCUUGAGCUCAACUCAAGAAAUGCACUCGGUACUGGGUGACUAGAGGACCGGAGAGGAUAGUGGAAUUCCCAGUGUAGUGGUGAGAUACGUAGAGAUUGGGAAGAACACCAGUGGCGAAGGCGGCUAUCUGGACGGUUUCUGACGCUAAGACGCGAAAGCGUGGGGAGCAAACAGG
rnacentral:rRNA from 1 species